rnacentral:sRNA from 1 species
GAAAAACUCCGGGGGGUCCGCGAUUCCCAUGGCCGCAGCCGCCUGCGGCACCAAAGCCAUGGCCCUCUUCAAGCGCACCUUGGUGCUGAGUCCCGCCGCGGCGCCCAGGGGCCCGGGCGCAGGCACCGCCCCGCGGGGCUGCUGCUUGCCUCCUGCCGCCUGGCCCUGCAAGGACUGGUCUCGGGGAGAGGGCGGCAGGCUGUGGAGCCGCCUGCCGCAGUCCCACUCCCACUCCUGCUCCUCGACGUCUCCCACCGCCGUGUGUGUUGUCUGCCCGCAGGACUCGCUCAGCAGCAGCCUGAAAACUUGCUACAAAUAUCUCAAUCAGACCAGUCGCAGUUUCGCAGCUGUUAUCCAGGCGCUGGAUGGGGAAAUGCGCAACGCAGUUUGCAUAUUUUAUCUGGUUCUCCGAGCUCUGGACACACUGGAAGAUGACAUGACCAUCAGUGUGGAAAAGAAGGUCCCGCUGUUACACAACUUUCACUCUUUCCUUUACCAACCAGACUGGCGGUUCAUGGAGAGCAAGGAGAAGGAUCGCCAGGUGCUGGAGGACUUCCCAACGGUGAGUGGAGUUACGCGUCUUGUCUACGGACUGUUGUGUUCAUAAUUGCUAAUGUGGUUGUCCGGUAGCCUCCAUACCUGUGGAGAAAGGUUAAAUAAGCAGUCUGAGGGCAGCAUAAUGUGAGGG